ACGCUCGACACCUACGGGAGCAGCAGUGGGGAAUAUUGCACAAUGGGGGAAACCCUGAUGCAGCGACGCCGCGUGGAGGAAGAAGGUCUUCGGAUUGUAAACUCCUGUUGUUGGGGAAAAAGAGGAUGGUACCCAACAAGGAAGUGACGGCUAACUACGUACCAGCAGCCGCGGUAAUCUGAGCGGGCGUGGCAAGGC
rnacentral:rRNA from 1 species